UCACCGAUUCGUCCUCCCGGCGCCUCUAAAAACUUUACGUCGGAGGCGCAGCGCCUUUAUCACAGUACAGUUGUGUAGUGUUGCAAGUGCAAAAAGACAGGUAAAGAGACUCUCAGAGAGAUUAAUUUUUUUUGAGGAAUUAGUGGUAUUUGAAUAAAUAGCAGACAAAAUGCCCCAACCCAACGAAGGAACCAGUUUGCUUACCACCUUCGCCAUCCUCAUCGCCCUAUUAUUAGCCUUGUGGGUGCUUUACGCCGGAAUGUUAUAGACAAUUUUUCGUUAGUAAUAGUAAAAAUUCAUACCACUACCAUCAGAAAGAUGAAAAUUCCAUCAAGUAAACAUUUAAUAGUACCACCUUUAAUUAAUGUGACGUAACGUUGUUAUACAGCGUAAUACUUGUAUAUUUGUAUUUUUAUAAUUGUAAGAUAAUUUAAGGUAGAGUUGUACUUAUGCCGCAUAAGGGAAAAUAAAAGUUUUUAUAAAAUA